rnacentral:ribozyme from 1 species
GAAUAGAAUAGAAUAGAAUAGAACAGAACAGAAAGAGAAGAAUGAUAAUUGAUUUGUGUUGUUAGAUGUGUUGCUUUGUUAUUUUGUAUUGUUGUUGCUGCUAU